GAACCAGUGAUUGAUCUUUUUUUGGUCACAGGUUCCUGCUUUCAGGUUCACUAAUUCCUCCUCCUACGUAGAUUCAUAGAUAAUAUCCAUAAGAUCUGGAAACUAAAGAGCAAAUUGAGAACAGCACUUGGUAGAGUGGAGACCAGGAAGCUAAAACUGGAAAAUGCCCCACAGAUGAUUCCAACGCCAACAGAAAGUCUAAUUUUUGGGAGCCUGGAGAAGGGGAACAGAGCGUUAUGAGGUAAGGACCAUACCCCGUAUCCCAUCUCAGCCACUACCCCUUCCUUCCGGCCCUUCCUCCUCUCCCAUCCUUUUCUCUCGUGGAGAAGACCCG
ensembl:lncRNA